UUGGUUACCUGAGAAGAACUGAGAAAAUGUAUCUCAUCCCCUUCACUGCAGAGUUGGAGACUAUGAGUGCUGAACAUUGUAUACACUGUUAGACACAGCCAUGGUUGGUUAGGCCCUGAGAACUCACCCUGCCACCAAACGCUGUGCUCUUCUCUUGCUCACUGGACGUUUUCCACUGGUGAUGCCCACAGACUGGAACAGGCAUUCAUGUCCUUGGAGGGUUGGACCAGCAUACAGCGGAGGAUCUUUUCACCAAUGCCUCUUAACAACUUCUCUGUACUUCAGGUUGCUUAGGACACUGGCUGGUUCAAGGUCUGGCCUAAGGUUGCAUAGCUGAUGAGUCAGAAGCAGAAUUUAAGUUGAUUCCAAGGCCAUAAGCAUAUCCAGAAGCUACUUCUCACACCUUUUACAGUUUGGAUUGUUUUUAUUUUGUUUUGCUUUUCUGUUUUUGUUUUUGUCAUAUAAUGAAUAGAGAGCAGGCCUCAGAGUCAAGGGGAGCUGAGUUCAGCUCCUGCCUCCAUCUCAUCCUGGUUCGGUGGCUGUGGGUAAGUCACUCCAC